UUAUGGGAGGAUUGACAGAUCGAGAGCUCUUUCUUGAUUCGGUGGAUGGUGGUGCAUGUCUGUUCUUAGUUGGUGGAGUGAUUUGCCUGGUUAAUUCCCAUGACGAGCGAAACUCUAGCCCAGAGAUGGCCACGCUGCCCCGGCCUAAGAGCCGCAAACAAAAUCACUAAAUGUCCAAGAGCCGCCUCGAAGCGGAAAGGCGGAAAUGGCGGGAGAGGGGGGCAAGGGUUUGCCCAGUGCACUAGAUAAGACUCUGAAAGUUGAACUGUAUUUUAGCUCUAUCCGAGUCAAAAGCGGCCACACUGUACGUAAGGUAGCAGAAGCACAAAACUACUAAACCGCAACCUGUCUUUCUAUUUAAAACACUUUCUAUUUUUCUUUUUUGGAGAAGUGCUCCUGUGACCGGGAAAGAGGGGGGUACGUUUACUAGGGAGCCGCGAGCAGCACUUUAACUUGCUAAAAGCCGCAUGCGGCUCGCGAGCCGCAGCUUGGCCACCCUUGCUCUAGCCUAUUAAGUAGGUGCCUGGUUCUCUGCCCCUUGAACCCUUCCUUGAGAGACACGCGGCUCCUAGCCGUACGAAACAGAGCAAUAACAUAUUUGUGAUGCCCUAAGAU
rnacentral:ncRNA from 2 species